rnacentral:rRNA from 1 species
AAUAUUGGGCAAUGGGCGCAAGCCUGACCCAGCAACGCCGCGUGAGGGAAGAAUGUCUUCGGAUUGUAAACCUCUGUCCCAUGGGACGAAAACAAUGACGGUACCAUGGGAGGAAGCUCCGGCUAACUACGUGCCAGCAGCCGCGGUAAUACGUAGGGAGCAAGCGUUGUCCGGAAUUAUUGGGCGUAAAGGGUGCGUAGGCGGUUUAUCAAGUCAGAUGUGAAAGACCCAGGCUUAACUUGGGAGGUGCAUUUGAAACUGGUAGACUUGAGUAAAGAAGAGGUAAGUGGAAUUCCUAGUGUAGCGGUGAAAUGCGUAGAUAUUAGGAGGAACACCAGUGGCGAAGGCGACUUACUGGUCUUUUACUGACGCUGAGGCACGAAAGCGUGGGGAGCAAACAGGAUUAGAUACCCUGGUAGUCCACGCUGUA